UCUCCUCCCCCCUCCCUUCUCUGCUUCUUCCAGAUUCGACCCAGCUGUCGGCAUUUACCUCAUCCCCCACUCCUGUAUUAAAGAUGGCUCCAGUCCAGUAUUCAUCGCCAAUUCGUUGCCCUCUUUGAGAUCUUUCAUCCACAAGUCCUGGGUCCAGUCAAAAGAUCUUCAUCCUCAAGAUCUUCUCCUUGCUCCAAGUUACUACCACGCCUUGACUUCAUCCUUCGAUCACGCCAAGCCUGUUCUCCCUACGCCAAGCUCCGCUUACCUUCAUCUCGCCUCUCAACAUUGCCUCCGAUGAAACUUACCUCCAUCUCUACGUCUCACUACUCCAUCUCCGGUGACGUCUCCGCUGCCAGCCUCUAAACCGCCAUAGACUUUGAAAUAAAUCCUUUCUCGCCA